ACUUGCCCCCACCUCUGCAGAUAACCCAGGAUUCCGCUUAUCCAGGGUUUAGGAUGACCCAGGGUUAACAAUUUCAAGUGUGAAAAGCCCUAUAGAGAACCAGGAAGGAGGAUGAUCGGGGAUUGGAGAGGAACAAAGACACGUCGAUGAGGCACACUCCUCAGGAAGCUGGAGACAAGGGAGAACCAGGAGAUUCAGAGAACUAAGGAGGAACACAAAAGGAAAGCCAUCAUCUGUAAUGUAAGACAUCUAAGACAGUGAGUGCUACAUGGAGACGGGAAGAACAGCUGGUUGUCCUGCAGUGCCAAACCACAUGUGACCAUAUGAUCACCCAGACGUGUUUGAGAACUUGAGGAUGAAAUGCAAUGUAGUACUCAAAGCUGCUCAUGGUCAGCCUGCUGCUUUUGAUAUUGAUCAGAUGUCUCUGUCUCUGUCUUUUGUUUAUAUGCAGUACUGGUCAAAUGU